rnacentral:rRNA from 1 species
ACGCUCGACACCUACGAGAGGCAGCAGUGAGGGAUAUUGGUCAAUGGGGGAAACCCUGAACCAGCAACGCCGCGUGAGGGAUGACGGUCUUCGGAUUGUAAACCUCUGUCCUCUGUGAAGAUAAUGACGGUAGCAGAGGAGGAAGCUCCGGCUAACUACGUGCCAGCAGCCGGGUAAUCUGAGCGGGCUGGCAAGGC